rnacentral:rRNA from 1 species
CCAAAAAGUGAAGGAGGUAUGGGGUUUAGAGACAUAUGUUCUUUUAAUCUUGCAAUGCUAACUAAGCAAUGGUGAAGACUUAUUACAACUCCUAAAUCACUUUGUACCUGAGCUCGAAAGGCCAAAUACUUCCCACAUGGAAGUCUCUUGCAAGUCUCUUUAAAAAAGGAAUCUUUAUUUACUUGGCAGAGCAUCAUGAAAGGACUUGAUGUUUUCAAAAAAGGGCUAUAUCUAGAGAGUGGGCAAUGGGAAUGA